UAUUCACUAAUUUUUUUUUGUUACUAUCGGUUCACGCAGCAUAUUGGAAAUCUCGGUGUUGCGGUUUGUACGCGACUAUACUGUGGAAAUCAAUAGAGAUAAAUAUUUACCACCAGUGGCGGCCACACAGAUGAGUGGCACAUUUAAAUUUCGUGCCAAUACCAACAUGUGCGCAUGCGCUUUAAGGUAUAUAUUGUUUCAAUGGCAGGGAAGCUGAGCCGUGCCUCUAGCCAAUGAGAUAAUUCCAAAAGGAGAUAUAAACGAAGUUCCCCAACAUAACGCAAAGAUAUUUUAAUAAAAUUUGGUAUACAAGUAUUUCAAACAAGUGGAAUUUUUUGAAAAAAUUAUUUUGCAGACACACAAAUUUUAUAGUAUCAAUUAUGCGUAGAUAUAAAUAAAAUAUUGUUUUUUUUUAUUCUGCAUAUAAUGUGGCUUACCAGACUCAAACCUCAC